GGCCAGACUCCUACGGGAGGCAGCAGUGGGGAAUAUUGCACAAUGGGGGAAACCCUGAUGCAGCGACGCCGCGUGAGUGAAGAAGUAUUUCGGUAUGUAAAGCUCUAUCAGCAGGGAAGAAAAUGACGGUACCUGACUAAGAAGCCCCGGCUAACUACGUGCCAGCAGCCGCGGUAAUACGUGGGGGGCAAGCGUUAUCCGGAUUUACUGGGUGUAAAGGGAGCGUAGACGGCGUGGCAAGUCAGAUGUGAAAGCCCGGGGCUCAACCCCGGGACUGCAUUUGAAACUGUCAGGCUGGAGUGCAGGAGAGGUAAGUGGAAUUCCUAGUGUAGCGGUGAAAUGCGUAGAUAUUAGGAGGAACACCAGUGGCGAAGGCGGCUUACUGGACUGUAACUGACGUUGAGGCUCGAAAGCGUGGGGAGCAAACAGGAUUAGAUACCCUUGUA
rnacentral:rRNA from 1 species